GAGUUCGAUCCUGACUCAGGAUGAACACGGGCGGCAUGCCUUACACAUGUAAGUCGGACGAGAAGUGGUGUUUUCAGUGGUGCACGAGUGAGUAACGCAUAAGAACCUGCCCUUGGGAGGGGAACAACAGCUGGAAACGGCCGCUAAUACCCUGUAGGCUGAGGCGAAAAAUGAGGAAUCUUCCCGUUGGUGGGACAAUAGCUUACCAAGGCGAUGAUCAAUAGCUAGUACGAGAGGAUGAUCAACCACACUAGGACUGAGGCAAGGCCCAGACUCUUACGGGAGGCAGUAGUGGAGAAUUUUCCGCAAUGGGCGAAAGCUUUACGAAGCAAUGCCGCGUGGAGGUAGAAGGCCUACGGGUUAUGAACUCUUUUCCCGGAGAAGAAGCAACGAUUAUAUCUGGGGAAUAAUCAUCGACUAACUCUGUGCCAGCAGCUGCGGUAAGACAGAGGAUGCAAGCGUUAUCCGGAAUGAUUGAGCAUAAAGCGUC
rfam:Lupinus angustifolius cultivar Tanjil chromosome LG04, whole genome shotgun sequence.